AUGCCUCUUUAGACCUUAUAGUUGCAAGUCUGUCUUAUACAUAUAUAUUUGGUUUGAUUCUUCACGAAGCGUUAAAUUUCUGAGUAAAUAAUACGCGUGUGUGUGGAAUGUGAAACAAUAAAAUAUCCCGGACAAUCCGAACAACACAAUAAAUUCUUCAAACACGUAUGCUUUUGUAUAAUGCUGUUUAUAAAAGUACAAGGGUGCUUGUGUAAAGCCAAGUCGAGCCGUUUUCGCGCAUUUUCUGUUUCGGAUGCCCGCGUUUACGAAGACCACCAACGUAGCACGAGAAAUCUGACGUCAGUGCGACGUAAAAAGAAUCCGGGUCCAUGAUGACAGUUCCAGAAAGCUCACAUUAUCUUCGUGCUUGUGGUUUGUUUUGCGUCAUCGGACGACAGCCCACGUACAUACAAUGCUAAAAACGGCCCGGCGCCCCCUGAAAAUAGUGCUCAUUUACACACGACUGAGGUGACUUUCCAGGCGUGACGUCGCCUAUGAUGAACAUGCAUUCCAAGAAACGACCUGGACUCCCUUUUGCAUGAUCUCGGUUGUUUCUCCUCCAUACAACUUUCGUAAAGCAGAAGCGGAGUUCCAACACAAAACGGAUUGUAAAUGCUAUGUCGCUCUCUAGUGGGAAUUUCUGGAACUGCAACCGCAACAUCCCAGACGGCUGCAACACAGUUCAAACUGUUGUGAUUUUUUUCUUUUCAGCUCCUUCUACGACGACAGCAAAUUGCGCAGGAAAUGCUGAAUCAUAGAUCAGUUGAACGUGUCCAUUCAAAGGUUCACAGAGGUCAAAUUGAGUUGACAUGUAAAGGUUUCAUUUCACCCAGAAAUUUCACCAAAAAGACAAAGUACACUAAGUACAUUCGGUCUAAGGGUCAGUUGUGUUUAAUCAUUUGUUUUUAUUUGUUUGGCUUGUCGGUCGGUCAAAAUAUGCCUGCAUGAAAUUGAUCUGUGGCAUUCAAUUACAUCAUUGAUUGGUCGCAUCAGUUUUCAUUUCAUUAUAGUCGACUAAACUUUCAACAGACAUAUUCCAGCAACUGUAUAAGGUUCCUACACUAAGAAAACAAACAGAAAACGUAAGUUUGACACAUAGAAGAAGGCCUUUAUUGAUAUAGUAUCAAUACAAUCAAGUACUUGUAGAUUUUUGAUAAGCAGGGGGAAAAAAACAAUUACAAAUCAAAACGAGUGCAUUUUAUACUCACAUUUUACUGCGCAAAAAGUAACGCAAUAGCCUUGUGUGCGG